rfam:Macrostomum lignano unitig_38982, whole genome shotgun sequence.
UCGGGCCUAUACGUGCCGUUGGGGCGAAGAGACAAAUAAUCUGUGUGGAUGUCCCAACAGUAGGAGGUCGCCCGUGGAACGCAGAAGUGCGGCUCCCGUGAGCCGGCUGAGACCGCCACGGCGCAGAUUUGGUGGAUAACAAUUACUCAAGUGAGAACUCUUGAAGGACUGAAUGUGAACAGGUUCCCAUGUGAACAGCAUUGAAUCAUGUCAGGCGGUCCUAACGAAUCGGGUAAAACCUCCGUACCCUAGAUCGAGGGUGAACAACAUCACUGAUAAACUGGUGAAGUGUUAAGCCCUCCGAGCGAAAAGGAAUCGUGUUAAUAUUCACGACCCUUAAACCUGAAUCGCCCCUUUCGGGGGGCAAUGCGGUAACGCAAACGAACACAGAGACUCGGCUGGAGCCCCGGAAAGAGUUCUCUUUUCUGUUGUAAGAGCGUACCCCCUGAAACGCUGUCCGGAGAUAGGGCCUGGCUUCCGUAAAGCAGCGCGGGUCUUGCGCUGUCCGCUGCACUCUAGUCGCCCCUUAAAAUCUGUGGGAACAUUGUGAUUUUCACGUAGCCGUACCAUAUCCGCAGCAGGUCUCCAAGUGAACAGCCUCUAGUCCUAGAAACAAUGUAGUAAGGGAAGUCGGCAAAAUGGAUCCGUAACUUCGGGAAAAAUGGCUCUGAGGCCUGUCGGAUGGCUGGCCGUAAGACUGUUCCGGUUGUGGAGGACUGUGAGACUUUCGGCUUACUCGACCAUCGCCGAACCAGCAGUAACCACGUCACUGUGCUUGUCGUGUUCGGCGCGGCAGCUUCGUCCGCAACAAACAGCCAACUCAGAACUGGCACGGACUAGAAACUAGGGCAUCCGACUGUCUAAUUAAAACAAGCAUUGCGAUGGCUGUUGCUCGUGUUGACGCGGCAAUGUGAUUUCGCCCAAUGCUCUGAAUGUCAAAGUGAAAAAUUCAAUCAACGCGGUAAACGGCGGAGUAACCUAACUCUCUAAGGUAGUCCAAAUCCUCGUCAUCUACAUUAUGACGCGCAUGAAUGGAUUAACGAGAUUCCCACUGUCCCUAUCUACUAUCUAGCGAAACCACAGCCAAGGUGAACGGGCUUGGCAGAAUCAGCGGGAAAGAAGACCCUGUUGAGCUUGACUCUAUCCGACUUUGUGAAGAACAUGAAGUGUACGUAUAGGUGGACGUCAGCGACUUUGAAAUACCACUACUUUUAUCGUUUCUUUACUUAUUCAUGAAGCCGGGAGCGGCCUUCACGGCCUCGUUCUGGUGUUAAACGAAUGGCCCUCCGCCCGCCGUGACCUGCUCUGAAGACAGUGUCAGGCGGGAGUUUGACUGGGGCGGUACAAUAUCUGUCAAAAGUAACGCAGAGGUUCCCAAAGAUGACUCAGUCAGACAGAAACCUGGCGUAGAGCAAAAGGGCAAAAGCUCAUUUAAUUUUGAUUUCAGUACGAAAUACAGACCGUGAAAGCGCGCCUAAUCGAUCCCUUGAUUAAUCAGAGUUUGAUGCAAGGGUUCAGAAAAGUUACCACAGGGAUAACUGGCUUUUGUGCGGCCCGAAGCGUUCAUAGCGACGUUCGCUUUUUGAUCCUUCGAUGUCGCUCUUCCUAUCAUUGUGAACAGAAUUCACCAAAGCGUUGAUUGUUCACCCACCAAGUAGGAACGUGAGCUGGGUUUAGACCGUCGUGGAGACAGUUAGUUUUACCCUACUGAUUCUUGUCGUUGCUAUGGAAAUCCUGCUUAGUACGAGAGGAACCGCAGGUCAGACAUUUGGUUUAUGUGCUGUCGAAAGACCAAUGGUGCGAAGCUACCAUCUGAGAUUAAGACUGAAAGCCUCUUAAGUCUGAAUCCCGCCCAGAAAUGCAAACGAUACUAUCGUGCCCCCUACCCGGACAACCCGCAUAUACUCGGCCCGAAAUCCGAUUCGGCGGCCGAGACUGGCUAAAGCCACUGCGAUACUGGCCACACCCCUGUCUUGAAAUUGCAGUGGAGCACAGACACGAUAACCACUUGAUUGAGACGUAGGGUUCUAUAUCGUUUUGUAACGACUUAGAUCUCGGUCGGGGUGCCGUACUUAGUUGAGCAGUUCUUCACUGCGAUCUAUUGAGGCUAAGCCUUUUGACGGGAAUAUUC